AUUUGUUCAAGGUUAGCCACAUACAUGGGAAAUAUUCUAAAGACAUUGUUGUCGAAUUAGAUAUCCCAUUAGUGAAGAAAAGUUCAAGUGAACCUAUAUUCAAGCGACCACGCGCGUCUCCAAACACGAUCGCCAUUACCGAAAUUUAAGAAGGGACUCGAUUUACUAAGAGAAAUGUUUUGGCAACUCGAAGGAUAUGCAUCUUUAAAGGGACUUGAUUAUCUUUAAAUUGUAUUUCUACUUUGUCACUAAUUCAUGCAACAUAGCACAUCGGUCCAAGGACAGAUUCUACACCAAUAAGUUCGAUUGAUACCAUGAGACUGUCAUUAGUUUGUGUGGCUGCUGAAGAUGCUCUUCGUGCAAUUAUCUCUGAUCUGAUAUGGAAAUCUUUAUCAUUUUUAGAUGAAUGUGAGGCAUAUUUUACAUAUGUAAUAGAUGAUAUUAAAAUGAUUACGAAAUAUAGUUCUUAUCAAUAU